AGGGUGUAAACGCUGCAGACUUGGUGUUGGAAGUCCUUUGGGGGCAUUUAGUGCCGGAGAGAAGUUGUUAAGUCUGCUACUUGGGGAGUACGUCCGCAAGGAUGAAACUUAAAGGAAUUGGCGGGGGAGCACCGCAACGGGAGGAGCGUGCGGUUUAAUUGGAUUCAACACCGUAAACUCACCAGGGAAGACUGUUACAUGAAAGCCGAGAUGAAGACUCUGCUAGAUUUUCAGAGAGGAGGUGCCAUGGCGUCAGUGACU
rnacentral:rRNA from 1 species